GAUGAUCAGAUACCGUCGUAGUCUCAACCAUAAAACUAUGUGGACCAAGGAUCCGAGGACGUUACAUGGAUAACCCUCAUCAGCACCUAAUGAGAAAUCAAAGUCUUUGAGUUCUGGGGAGAGUAUGGUCGCAAGGCUGAAACUUAAAGGAAUUGACGGAAAGAUACACAAGUCGUGGAUUCUGCGGCUCAAUUUGAUUCAACACGGGAAAACUUACGCAGGCAAAAAGCUAGAAGGAUUGACAGCUUGAUAGCACUUUCUUGAUUUGGCAGCGAGUGGUGCAUGGCCGUUCUUAGUUGGUGGAGUGAUUUGUCAGGUUAAUUCCCUUAACGAACGAGAUCUUCACUUGCUAACUAGUCGCGACUAAAAACCUAGUCGUUGACUUCUUAGAAGGACUACGGUCUCAAAAACCGUGGAAGUUGGAGGC
rnacentral:rRNA from 1 species